rnacentral:lncRNA from 1 species
CCAGGGAUCUCUUUAGGCGACCUGUAGGGGCAGGAGCAGCAUGACAGAGCACAGGAAGGGAGAUCUGCUGAGCCACAAGCUGCUGGCCAGGGGCUCACUUUCUGCUCCUCUUGCUGCCAGUCCCACCAGAGCUGGGAUGAUGUUUCUGAAUGGAAAACUCCUCGCUUGCCGGGACUCACACAGAUGUAGCAUUUGUGCGGCUCAGCACCACACAGGAGCUCGCAGUUUCCAUCAGGCCACCUGCAGACGGGCAGGGCUGGAUGCAGCCCCAGCGAAGGGAGUGCCACGGUUCUGAGCUCUGCCAGGGCCAGAGCUGGUCUCCAAAGCACCAACCUGGCAGGGAUGAGUGUGAAAAGUCCAGAAUUUCUCCAAACCCUCCUGGGCAGUGCCUUCCCACGCCGUUUCUCAUCACCUGCCCCCGUCUUGUCCCACUCCUGGCUGCUCUCCUCACCAGGGUGACCAGCAGCAGCGUGCACUCAGCCAAGAAGAUGUUUCUGCCUGGGACUUUGAAAGCGAAGAAACCACACCACCUGGCUGUAGUGAGGAGAAGGGAGGACGGCGUGCUCCAGCCACAGGCAGAUGCCCUCAUCCCUCCCAGAGUUUUUCUAGGGGACAGGCUCAGUGAUGCACCCGCGCUGCAGCUCAGAGAGGGGAUCGAAAGGGGCAGCUCCACCACGACCCUGGGGAGGUUUCCAAAAACCUCUGGAGUGCAAAGGAGACAUCACUGCAAAUCAGCUGCUGGAAAAUCAUGCUGCUUUGCCACAUUGCCGCCAACAGUAAGUGCAACCAGGCCAGCUUCUGAGGGAGCAGAGGAGCAGUUAGGGUGCAUAGUUAUGGAGGUGGUUGAGCCUUUCUUUGAGUUCAUACCAAAGAAUGCAUUGAUUUGA